GAAAUGCGAUAAGUAAUGUGAAUUGCAGAAUUCCGUGAAUCAUCGAAUCUUUGAACGCACAUUGCGCCCCCUGGCAUUCCGGGGGGCAUGCCUGUCCGAGCGUCAUUUCUGCCCUCAAACACGGCUUGUGUGUUGGGUGUGGUCCCCCCGGGGACCUGCCCGAAAGGCAGCGGCGACGUCCGUCUGGUCCUCGAGCGUAUGGGGCUCUGUCACUCGCUCGGGAAGGACCUGCGGGGGUUGGUCACCACCAUAUUUCACCACGGUUGACCUCGGAUCAGGUAGGAGUUACCCGCUGAACUUAAGC
rnacentral:misc_RNA from 1 species